CUUCCUUUGCCCUAGCGAGCAGCCUCGGCCCAAAUGUGAUCCCACUCUCUCCCAAUCUGGACAACUAGCGGCGAAUCCCCAUUCUCCGGCGAGCCGCGGCGAGGCCCUUCUCCGGCACGACCGCUGCUUGCUGCAGCGUCAAGCUCCCCGUACUGCCGUCUCACCUCCGCAGCCUCGUUCCGGUUGCUGCCUGGCCGACCGCACUCGCCGACGACCGGAAGCAACCAUUACGCGAUGCAACCUGGAUCUCACCGCCGUCUGUUCCGCCGUCCCUCGCCCUAGCUGAUAUAAGUUCAUCUGCUAGAUAAGCUCAAAGGAGAUAUAGAACCUCGGCAGGGGAUGACCACAGCUGUACUAACUGAUGACCUAGUGGUGGAGAUAUUGUCUGGGCUGCCGCUUAAGUCUUUUUGCCGUUUCAAAUGUGUCUCCAAGUCUUGGAUUGCCUUCUCAUCUGAUCCGCACUACCGCCAGAAGCUCCCCAGACCUCCCGUCGGUCUCCUGUACCAAAAAAGAGAGCAUGACCCUGCCAUCCAUCUUGCGGGCCUUCCCUCAAGUGACAGGGAUAUUGACACAACACUUAGCUUUGUGCCAUGUUAUGAGCAUCCCUUAAAGCUUCAGGAUUGCAGCAAUGGCUUACUUCUUUGUUAUCAUGGUGAUACGUACUAUAAAGAAAUUUUUGACGCGAUCGUGUGCAAUCCAGCAACUAAAGAGUGGAUGGCACUUCCAGAUACUGAACCUGGACUAGCCGUCUCAUUUUCUGUUCUCAGGUUGUGUUUUGAUCCAUUAUGGUCUCAACACUUCUAUGUCUUCAAAUUUGAGUCAAGCUCGAGCCCAAAUGGUGGAUAUGACACUGAAGUUAAGGUAUUUUUCUCCGAGGAUUCCACAUGGUCUAGUUGUCUUUGGGAAACUAGUGAUGCAUUUACUGGUGCUUGGCUCUUCGUAAAUGGGGUGUUGUAUGUGGAGCACUUAUGGAGGCAUUACCUUCUGGCACUCGAUGCACCUGACACAUGCACACAGCAGCUCAAUCAUAGGACCAUUCAGUUGCCAGGGUUUCCAUAUGGAGUAGAUCAGAUGUUUUAUUGCUUUGACGGGCGUCUUUGGCAGUCAUCUGGAGUCUUAUGCUAUGCACAACAAGAAUUGGAUGGUUGCAUGAUCCGAAUUUGGAAUUUGGAAGAAUCUGAUAGGUGGGUGGUGAAGCAUCGUCUAAAUAUGAACAAUGUAUUUGGGAGGGACAUAAUGCUCCAUACUAACAAUGAAGGAUUAUGGUACUUUGAUUAUGAAAUCCUGGCAUUUGACUUGGAGAGAGAGCUAGUUUUCCUUGCUGACACAAUUGCUGAUAAUAAGAUCAUCUCAUAUAGCAUCAGUACUGGAAAGGGCUCGCAGAUUCUAAACAUUCCAAGGUUUGUUGACCUCUAUCGAAGUCUACUCUACGUGCCAUACUAUGGCAAGUUUCCAGCUUCUGUGCUUCAGGGAGCUCAAGACAAAUGUUAGAAUAUUUACCCAAUGGAUGAUGUAAUCUCUAGGUAUCUUUUGUGCGCUAGCUGUGCCAAACAGCCGUUAUGUAUGUUCAUCUAAUUGUCACUUCUCAUUUCUCCUGUUAACACUGGUCUUGCUUAUGCUAGUAUAAUUUAGGAAACCUGCAUAGUAACAUGAAGCUUUGGGUAAAAGGAUGUGUGAUGCAGUGUGUGCUUUCUAUACAAUGGCUGGGAGCACUCUUGUAAUCUUGCCAGGUUUCAGUCUCUCGGCAUAGCAGCAGCCAGCUCUCAUAUGUUAGGUUGUUACCAAAUGAGCUAAUGUUUCAGUCAUCGUGAAGUCCAGUAGGACCCCCCUUGCCGAGACAGUGCGGAGAUUCGAGCAGCUAGCAUGCUUCGCCGAUGAGUUCUUCAGGAAAAUGAUGAAUUCGGAUGGUUCGUCAGACGAGGAGUAUGGAAACACGGAGCUUGAUGAAGUAAUGCAAAAGGAGUCCUUAGAUUCGUCGGAGUCGAACGAAGAUGUUGUGAUGAUGAUGAUCAUGAGCAUCCAAGAGGAAAUGGGCAGGGAAGUGAGACACGUUUUGAACUUUAAGGAUUAGAUCAAAGGGAGAGGAGUUUUGAACCGGGAUCGCCUACCAGCGAAGUCGGAAGCACACGGUUAUUAUGAUAAACACGUUGUCGAAGAACACACACAUCGACCUAUGACCCCCCUUCAAGAUGUAUAUGAAAUUUUAAUGAGCUGGAGGCGAGCAGGAAUUGCGCCUGCAGGCACUGUAAUAUUACUGAAACUUGUUUUUUUAGUUGAAAGCUAUCAUUUGAUAGUUUUUAGAAGCCCCCA